rnacentral:rRNA from 1 species
CGGGUGAGUAAUACAUCGGAACGUGUCUUCUAGUGGGGGAUAACUGCCCGAAAGGGCAGCUAAUACCGCAUGAGACCUGAGGGUGAAAGCGGGGGAUCGCAAGACCUCGCGCUGGAAGAGGGGCCGAUGUCCGAUUAGCUAGUUGGUGAGGUAAAGGCUCACCAAGGCGACGAUCGGUAGCUGGUCUGAGAGGACGACCAGCCACACUGGGACUGAGACACGGCCCAG